rnacentral:misc_RNA from 1 species
UGCUGUGACUGUCGAAUGUUUC